GACGAACGCUGGCGGCGUGCUUAACACAUGCAAGUCGAACGGAAAGGCCCUGCUUUUGUGGGGUGCUCGAGUGGCGAACGGGUGAGUAACACGUGAGUAACCUGCCCUUGACUUUGGGAUAACUUCAGGAAACUGGGGCUAAUACCGGAUAGGAGCUCCUGCUGCAUGGUGGGGGGUGGAAAGUUUCGGCGGUUGGGGAUGGACUCGCGGCUUAUCAGCUUGUUGGUGGGGUAGUGGCUUACCAAGGCUUUGACGGGUAGCCGGCCUGAGAGGGUGACCGGCCACAUUGGGACUGAGAGACGGCCCAGACUCCUACGGGAGGCAGCAGUGGGGAAUAUUGCACAAUGGGCGGAAGCCUGAUGCAGCAACGCCGCGUGCGGGAUGACGGCCUUCGGGUUGUAAACCGCUUUCGCCUGUGACGAAGCGUGAGUGACGGUAAUGGGUAAAGAAGCACCGGCUAACUACGUG
rnacentral:rRNA from 1 species